GAAAACUUAUUGAUCUACAUUAAAAUGUUUACCCUAAUUUCCUAAAGUAACACUAUCACCUCAUCAAAGAUAUAUAUUUCCUUAAACCUCAUAUCUUGUUUAUGCUUAUUUAGAGCAAAUAAAUGAGGGUGCUCUCUGAAUACCAGUACACGUAAAAAAUCAGGGUAACUCACAUUUAUAGUCUUCAACCUCCAAGAGUAUCUUUACAUGAAAGAGGAACAGGCAGUAAGAGAAAAUAAUGACUAAUAUACAGUCAUGGCCGUAAAUGUUGGCAACCCUGAAAUUUUUCUAGAAAAUGAAAUAUUUCUCACAGAAAAGGAUUGCAGUAACACAUUUUGCUAUACACGUGUUUAUUCCCUUUGUGUGUAUUCAAACUAAACCAAAAAAGGGAGGAAAAAAAGCAAAUAUGACAUAAUGUCACACCAAACUCCAAAAAUGGUCUGGACAAAAUUAUUGGCACCCUUAACUUAAUUUUUGGUUGCACACCCUUUGGAAAAAAUUACUGAAAUCAGUUGCUUCCUAUAACCAUCAAUAAGCUUCUUACACCUCUAAGCCGGAAUGUUGGAUUUUAAGAUCUCUCCACAGGUUUUCAAUGGGAUUUAGAUCUGGACUCAUUGCUGGCCACUUCAGAACUCUCCAGCGCUUUGUUGCCAUCCAUUCCUGGGUGCUUUAUGACAUUUGUUUGGGGUCAUUGUUCUGCUGAAAGACCCAAGAUCUCUGAUGCAAACUCAGCUUUCUGACACCGGGCUGUACAGUGCAACCCAAAAUCCAUUGGUAAUCCUCAGAUUUCAUGAUGCCUUCCACACAUUCAAGACACUCAGUGCCAGAGGCAGCAAAACAACCCGAAAACAUCAUUGAAUCUCCACCAUAUUUUACUGAAAGAGUUAUACUUAUUUCAGUAGGCACAAGCCAAGUCGGUAGGCUGUCUACUUUCCUUCACGGAUCUCUAUAUCAUUUGUCUGCAUCCUUUGGCACUCUAGCUACUCUGAAACUACAGGCUUUGGGAGCUACGGGGUUUAGCAUGCCAUGCCAAGUCUGUAGCUUUCAUUGCAUGCUGGGAAUUGUAGCUUUUCAACAGUUGGAAGGGGAAUAUGAACAUAAUCGUCAUUGACACACCAAUAUCAAACUGGUUUUCUAGGGCAGAGUAGGGGAUCUUAAAACCACUGAAGGAAGGAAAUCAUUAUUGGACUUUACAGAAGUAGGUCAUCUGCUACAGCUGCUGAUAGUUUAAGAGGAAGAAACAUGGGACCUCAGACGUGGAACAUGACUCCCUGAAAAUGUUUGAGAUCAACCCAAGAAAAACUUCCUCAGAGGCUUGUUUAAUAGGCAUUAUCUGUAAUAGUCUCAAUGUGUGCUUAUGUUUCCUGACGAGUUUGCACCUUCUUCCCACAGCUAACAAGGCACCCGUAAUGGAAGACAGAACAAUUUAAUGAAGGAGAUUUAAUAGUUUGUGUUAAAACUAAUAUGGUCCAUUAAGAACUGUCAUUUUUGUAAACAAUGAAGAUAUAUCAUGUAAUGCGGAGCCAUCCAGGAUUUUUUUUUUCCUUUUGCUAACUGUAAUAUUCUAGAGGACGCGCCUGACAAGCACUGAAAUACUUAAGAACUCAUUUAGGUUUUUGUUCUUACAUCCAGGCUUUUCUUAAGUUUUCAGAUGAUGGGCAAUAUAUAGAAAAUGACUGGAUGGGAAAAUAUUGUUAAGUAAAAAAAACCUAAAAAGCAGCUCUACCAGAGAAUGAAGCAAAUGAGGGUUGACUUUUUCUA